CACCACUCGCCUCCUCUGCCGCACCUAGCCCUUCUCUGUCGGACCUCGCAGCCGCCGACCUCUGGUCCACCGUCACCAUCUGGACCCCUCCCCACACCCCGCCAGCACGCCGCCAGACGCCCUCCUCGCCCACGCGCGGCGGCCUCUCUGAUCCCACGGCUGCGCUCGCCCCUGUCCUCGCCGGCGUCGCAGCCUCAGGACAGAUUAUUGAAGCUCUUAUGAAGUGGCGAUUGACUAGAACCAGGGGCAAGCUGAGGAUUUGUUUGCUUAAACAAUAGAGAUUGCUUGGAUUAAGUGGGGGUUAAGAUGUUCUUGUUGUCUAUAUCUGAAAUGAAAAACCUGAUGAAGAUCCUUCCGAGGCGUCAGAUGUGCCUCUUCUCGCACUGAACAGGGCCAUCAACAGAGCAAUCAAACAAGCGACACUGCAGUAGGAAAAACAAUGAUACAUGGCAAUCUCCCAGUGUGCGCGCCCAGUAUAAUGUAAACAUGGUAGUAGCUUCUUGUUCUUCAGAAAGUAAAUGUAAACAUCUGUUGUAAGAUUCCAGUACAGGUAAAGGCAACAGCUGCUAGCUGCUCUACCACGGGUGCAAAAACAAGCUUAAUCCUUUGCCGAAAACAAUUGUACCAAGCACUAAGGCAGGGGUGAAGCCAGUAGUCAAUGGGUCAUCUCCAUACUCCAGGGAGCUGCUAUCGUCGUGUUAAAGUCUCGUACCCUUGGGUGCCACUUGUUUUAUUUUGUUGAAAUGGCGGUGUCACUUGUUAGGCAGUCAAGUAAAGUGACGGGCAAUGCAGAAAGUCCCACGUUGAAAUUUGAUGCGGCGAGACCCGUCCUUUGUCAUGUACGUACCGGAGGAACGGCAUCGUGAUUGGUCCUGAUUGGAAAGCUUGUCAUGUACGUACCCUGACCACUCCGCUCCCCAGCGUGACGAUGCUAACAACGGUCUGGGUAGAUCCCCGAUUUUUUUUGUUUUUUUUUGUUUUUGCAAAAUAAUUCUUGCAUUACUCAAAUCGAAAGUUA